CUCACGUUCAAGCGAGUGUAGUGUUUCCCGCCAACGGGAAUGGAGCUUUAGGAAAGCCCCCAAAUUCCCGUCAAACAAAACCCUAUAAAAUACCCUCCCUUCCCGCUUCUUUCAAUUCCCCGAUCAAACAUUCAAACUUUACAAUCCACACACUUCCAAUUCCCAUCUCCCAUUAGAAUUCACCUUCUCAGAACAAGACAGAAGCAACAACAACAACCAGACCUGAAUUCCCAACAGGUCGGAUCAAGAGAAUCUCGACAAAGACAUCAACAAGGUCAACCCAGAUACUCUUUUCAUUGUCUCCAGCACCACCGAGUUGUUUCUCUGAGAAAUCAGCUGAAAAUGCAAUCGAGAACAGCCGAAGCUAAAGACUGUGAAACUCGACCACGUUCGAGUCGCUGUUAAAAGGCACCACCCUCUUAGAAUCUCUCCCUCUGCCAAUUCAAUCACCGGAGAAGUCUGCGAGUGACAACACUAGUGCUCUUACCUUGGCAGAUAAACCAACCCCGGUAGGCACUCGCCGGGUCGAUCAUUUCGUCACCAAGGCGGCAAAUAUUCAAGUUUUAUAACGGAGAUAACGGCCCAGAAAAGGAUGAGACGACGGAAACUGCUUCAUCUCGAAGAUGAGAAGUGAGAAUUGAUGCUAUGGGUUCCCAACUGUUGGAGACAAAGUGAAAGCCUUCUGUUUAAAGGGUUUGCAUUGCUCAAGCUUCCAUUUAAGCUCCUG